rnacentral:rRNA from 1 species
ACGUAGGGUGCAAGCGUAAUCGGAAUUACUGGGCGUAAAGCGUGCGCAGGCGGUUAUAUAAGACAGAUGUGAAAUCCCGGGCUCAACCUGGGAACUGCAUUUGUGACUGUAUAGCUAGAGUACGGUAGAGGGGGAUGAAUUCCGCGUGUAGCAGUGAAAUGCGUAGAUAUGCGGAGGAACACCGAUGGCGAAGGCAACCCCUGGACCUGUACUGACGCUCAUGCACGAAAGCGUGGGGAGCAAACAGGAUUAGAUACCUGGUAGUCCACGCCCUAAACGAUGUCAACUGGUUGUUGGGUCUUCACUGACUCAGUAACAAGCUAACGCGUGAAGUUGACCGCCUGGGGAGUACGGCCGCAAGGUUGAAACUCAAAGGAUUGACGGGGACCCGCACAAGCGGUGGAUGAUGUGGUUUAAUUCGAUGCAACGCGAAAAACUUACCCACCUUUGACAUGUACGGAAGUUACCAGAGAUGGUUUCGUGCUCGAAAGAGAACCUAACACAGGUGCUGCAUGGCUGUCGUCAGCUCGUGUCGUGAGAUGUUGGGUUAAGUCCCGAACGAGCGCAACCCUUGCCAUUAGUUGCUACAUUCAGUUGGGCACUCUAAUGGGACUGCCGUGACAAACCGGAGGAAGGUGGGGAUGACGUCAAGUCCUCAUGGCCCUUAUAGGUGGGGCACACACGUCAUACAAUGGCUGGUACAGAAGGUUGCCAACCCGCGAGGGGGAGCUAAUCCUUAAAGCCAGUCGUAGUCCGGAUCGCAGUCUGAAACUCGACUGCGUGAAGUCGGAAUCGCUGUAAUCGCGGAUCAGAAUGUCGCGGUGAAUACGUUCCCGGGUCUUGCACUCACCGCCCGU